rnacentral:rRNA from 1 species
UGCAGUCGAGCGAAUGGAUUAAGAGCUUGCUCUUAUGAAGUUAGCGGCGGACGGGUGAGUAACACGUGGGUAACCUGCCCAUAAGACUGGGAUAACUCCGGGAAACCGGGGCUAAUACCGGAUAACAUUUUGAACUGCAUGGUUCGAAAUUGAAAGGCGGCUUCGGCUGUCACUUAUGGAUGGACCCGCGUCGCAUUAGCUAGUUGGUGAGGUAACGGCUCACCAAGGCAACGAUGCGUAGCCGACCUGAGAGGGUGAUCGGCCACACUGGGACUGAGACACGGCCCAGACUCCUACGGGAGGCAGCAGUAGGGAAUCUUCCGCAAUGGACGAAAGUCUGACGGAGCAACGCCGCGUGAGUGAUGAAGGCUUUCGGGUCGUAAAACUCUGUUGUUAGGGAAGAACAAGUGCUAGUUGAAUAAGCUGGCACCUUGACGGUACCUAACCAGAAAGCCACGGCUAACUACGUGCCAGCAGCCGCGGUAAUACGUAGGUGGCAAGCGUUAUCCGGAAUUAUUGGGCGUAAAGCGCGCGCAGGUGGUUUCUUAAGUCUGAUGUGAAAGCCCACGGCUCAACCGUGGAGGGUCAUUGGAAACUGGGAGACUUGAGUGCAGAAGAGGAAAGUGGAAUUCCAUGUGUAGCGGUGAAAUGCGUAGAGAUAUGGAGGAACACCAGUGGCGAAGGCGACUUUCUGGUCUGUAACUGACACUGAGGCGCGA